AGCAGCCGCGGUAAUUCCAGCUCCAAUAGCGUAUAUUAAAGUUGUUGCAGUUAAAAAGCUCGUAGUUGAAUUUCGAGACCGGUUUACUGGUCGUGCUUUUGUACGUACUGGUAUAAUCGGUUUCUCUUUUCUGACGAACUAUAAUGCCAUUAAUUUGGUGUUAUAGGGAAUCAGGACUGUUACUUUGAAAAAUUAGAGUGUUUAAAGCAGGCUCACGCUUGAAUACAUUAGCAUGGAAUAACGAAAUAGGACGUUUGAUUUUAUUUUGUUGGUUUCUAGGAUCGACGUAAUGAUUAAUAGGGAUAGUUGGGGGCAUUAGUAUUCAAUUGUCAGAGGUGAAAUUCUUGGAUUUAUUGAAGACUAACUACUGCGAAAGCAUUUGCCAAGGAUGUUUUCAUUAAUCAAGAACGAAAGUUAGGGGAUCGAAGACGAUCAGAUACCGUCGUAGUCUUAACCAUAAACUAUGC
rnacentral:sRNA from 1 species